UCCAACACUUCUGAACAAGAGACAAGUUCAAUUUUGAGAGCUGCAUUCUCUUUCUCUAGAUACUUAAGCCUGACAAGGAUAUCAGGAUCAGUAGAAGUAGGCAUUUCAGCUUUACCAGCCUCCACUUGUGUCUGGAGCUUAAGUAGCUGUUUCUCAAGUGCAGUUUUUUCAGAUUCCAUUUCAUUUUUUUCUGCCAUAGCGUCUUGAAUCAUUUUCUCUUGCUCAUCUCUUGCUUGUCUCAACUGCCUGACACAUUCCUUGAGUGCACCGUCGAGAUGACUGACACGAACUUCCAAAGUCAAGUUUUGCUGCACAGCCGCAUCUAGUUGCUGCUUUAGAACUGCAACUUCAUUUUCUGCCUUUUCCCAACCUGCGAUAGCUUCUUCGGCAACUUUAGCAUGCUGCUUAACUAAGUCUUCUUUGGCGCUAACAUUAACAAG
rnacentral:misc_RNA from 1 species